rnacentral:rRNA from 1 species
UACGUAGGGUGCGAGCGUUAAUCGGAAUUACUGGGCGUAAAGCGUGCGCAGGCGGUUCGUUGUGUCUGUGGUGAAAGCCCCGGGCUUAACCUGGGAAUGGCCAUGGAAACUGGCGAGCUGGAGUGUGGCAGAGGGGGGUGGAAUUCCGCGUGUAGCAGUGAAAUGCGUAGAUAUCUGGAGGAAUACCGGUGGCGAAGGCGGCAUCCUGGACCGGCAUUGACGCUGAGGAGCGAAAGCUAGGGGAGCAAACGGG